rnacentral:rRNA from 1 species
UACAGAGGGGGCAAGCGUUGUUCGGAAUUACUGGGCGUAAAGGGCGCGUAGGCGGCCUUCUAAGUCAGACGUGAAAUCCCCCGGCUUAACCUGGGAACUGCGUCUGAUACUGGGAGGCUUGAGUAUGGGAGAGGGAUGUAGAAUUCCAGGUGUAGCGGUGAAAUGCGUAGAUAUCUGGAGGAAUACCGGUGGCGAAGGCGGCCAUCUGGACCGCAACUGACGCUGAGGCGCGAAAGCGUGGGGAGCAAACAGG